ACGACCGGCGCACGGGUGAGUAACGCGUAUGUAAUCUGCCUUGUACAGAGGGAUAGCCCAGAGAAAUUUGGAUUAAUACCUCAUAGUAUUACCGAAUCGCAUGAUUUGGUAAUUAAAGCUCCGGCGGUACAAGAUGAACAUGCGUGACAUUAGCUAGUUGGUAAGGUAACGGCUUACCAAGGCUACGAUGUCUAGGGGUUCUGAGAGGAUGAUCCCCCACACUGGUACUGAGACACGGACCAGACUCCUACGGGAGGCAGCAGUGAGGAAUAUUGGUCAAUGGACGCAAGUCUGAACCAGCCAUCCCGCGUGAAGGAUGACUGCCCUAUGGGUUGUAAACUUCUUUUAUAUGCAAAUAAACCUACUUUCGUGAAAGUAGCUGAAGGUAGCAUAUGAAUAAACACCGGCUAACUCCGUGCCAGCAGCCGCGGUAAUACGGAGGGUGUAAGCGUNAUCCGGAUUUAUUGGGUUUAAAGGGUACGUAGGCGGUAAUAUAAGUCAGUGGUGAAAUCCUGCAGCUCAACUGUAGAACUGCCAUUGAAACUGUAUUACUU
rnacentral:rRNA from 1 species